GUCUACGGCCAUACCACCCUGAACGCGCCCGAUCUCGUCUGAUCUCGGAAGCUAAGCAGGGUCGGGCCUGCUUAGUACUUGGAUGGGAGGAGUUAAAAUUUCAGCAUAGGCU
rnacentral:rRNA from 1 species